GCCGCUGUAGCUUAGUGGUGGAGCGAUGGACUGUUAAUCCAUAGGCCGCCGGUUCAAAUCCGGUCAGCGGCGCCA
rnacentral:tRNA from 4 species